rnacentral:rRNA from 1 species
UGCGUAGGCGGCUAUGAAGGUCUGAUGUGAAAUCCCACGGCUCAACCGUGGAAUUGCGUUGGAAACCACAUGGCUUGAGGAAGACAGAGGUGAGCGGAACUAAUGGUGGAGCGGUGAAAUGUGUUGAUAUCAUUAGGAACACCGGUGGCGAAAGCGGCUCGCUGGGUCUUUUCUGACGCUGAGGCACGAAAGCUAGGGUAGCAAACG